CCAGCUCCAAUAGCGUAUAUUAAAGUUGUUGCAGUUAAAAAGCUCGUAGUUGGACCUUAGGCAAGGCGACGCGGUCCGCCGAAAGGCGGCACUGUGCGCUGCGCCUGACGAUCGGGGAGCUGCCGGCGCGAGUUGGCGGGGAACCGAGUUUUACUUUGAAGAAAUUAGAGUGUUUAAAGCAGGCUUGCGCCUGAAUAUGUUAGCAUGGAAUAAUAGAAUAGGACUGUGGUCUUAUUUUGUUGGUUUGAGGGCCAGAGUAAUGAUUAAUAGGGACAGUUGGGGGCAUUAGUAUUCGGUAGUCAGAGGUGAAAUUCUUGGAUUUACCGAAGACUAACUAGUGCGAAAGCAUUUGCCAAGGAUGUUUUCA
rnacentral:rRNA from 1 species